rnacentral:rRNA from 1 species
UACGUAGGCUGCAAGCGUUAUCCGGAAUGACUGGGCGUAAAGCGUUCAACGGUGGUUUUGUUCGUUCCGCGUUUAAUCUCCAGGCUCAACUUGGAGGCUGCGCGGAAGACAGCAAGGCUCGAGUCCUACAGGGGUCAGCGGAAUUGGCGGUGUAGCAGUGAAAUGCGUUGAUAUCGCCAAGAACACCGAUGGCGAAGGCAGCUGACUAGGUAGGUACUGACACUCAAGAACGAAAGCGUGGGGAGCGAAC